UUUUUUUUUUUUUUUUUAAUAAUGUGGCAUUGUCUAAGACAGUGAUCAGACUGAACUUUGUGGACCAACCGCCUGUGGAUGUGCAAAAAUGGCCAAAUGCCCUCUUAAGUGGGGUUGUGAUCACAUGGAAAGAAUUUUUGGCAUAAGGCUAAUUCUGUGCCUCUAGUUUUGCUUGCAGAGUUUUCCCAAUAUUUACACCUAGGAAAGGAUGCACAGAGAGUAACACAUCCCUCUAGAGAGCAAUGCAGGAAGGCAAAUUAUUCAUGCAUUUACUUAACACAGGUUCUUUCCUACAUUGCAGUAACUUUAAUAUUCUGUCCUGGGGUGACUUUACAAGAAAAAUAUUUCCCACAACAAACUUCCUAUUAAAAACAUCAGGUUCUGUAAAAACUCCGUGCUUAAUUAAGGGUUGCGUAUGCCAGCAUUAAAUAUGCUUUGUUAGAUUAUAGUUUAAAAUGGUUUAAUUUCAGAAAUUAUGUAAUUAGUACAAUUUAAUCUUUGGCAUGACUUCAUUAAAUCUUUAUGAAUAGGAAAAGUAUUUUAAAAUUAAAAUAGAAUUUUUAAUGCUCUUUGGAGAUUCAUUGGCUUCCAGUUUUACUUGACUCUGUUAUACCAGAACAUAUAUAUUAGAAAGAAUAUUUCACAAUUCCAUAAACUCGUAAAAGUGAAUUUCUAUGUAUGAUGUAAACAUUACCAUCAGCUGUCAAUGUAGCCCCAGUCCUUCUGAACCACUGGCAUAUGUGGAUGGUAUGAAUAAUAAGUGCUUUUUUUUCACUAAAACAAAGAAUUUUACCGGUGUGUUUUUUAAAUGACAAUACUAUCCAAUAUAUGGCUGAAGAACGAUCUAUAGACUUUUUGCAAAAUAUGACACAUAUAUUUAGUAAAAAAUUCCAAAUUAAGAAUGAGUCUUGUGAAAUUUCACUUUGAUCACUGAGGAAAACUAGGAAAAGGUUUUAUAAUUUUUUAAAAAAUUAUUUUCUUGAAAUAGUUUUCUCCCCUUUUACAUUAUACAAUAAAAUAAUGAUUUUAAGCAUGCUGCUGAAAUGAACACAGAUACACACCUGCCAACAGCUCCUGUGGUAACAGAGAGGGCUGAAAUGCUGUUUUAAUCUCCAACACUGACUAGUUUUUUUUUCCCUGUGGUCAUACAGAGUCUUUAAUUAGUUCUGUUUUCUUCAGCAUAUCAUGCAUUAGUUGUAUAAUUCCCCACUAAUUUUUCUCCAGUACAGAGAGUGGCUUUCCCGAAAUAUACGUCUAGCAUGGUUUUUCACACCUCCAAACUUCACCUUUCUGUAUCUGCCUAAAUUAGAUCAGCUUUAUUCUUCCCCUCUAGCAAUUUUCCCAAAAAGGCUAUUUCCUUUGUUUGUGGACAACCCAGUUUAUUCUGAAAGAGUCAUGUCCAUUCCUUCUGCAUAAUUUCCCUGGCUCAGGAAGUUCUCAGUGCCAGGUGAGGAAACACUCUUUCCUCUCUGGGAUGAAUUUGAGGAGGGGCUGCACAGUGGGAAUGGAUCAAGCUUUGCUUGUGAUUAACAGACCUGUAGGCUUGGAAAAUGCUAUAAUUUUUAUGUUCUGGGUCAUCUUUGAUUCUGAAAAGCACAGGAAUUUAUUUCUGCCAAGUGAUGAAAAACUGGCAGCUAAAGGGUUAGCAUGGACACCUCUGAGAUGACAGAGCUGCCAAGCAGGGUAGCAGCGAAUCCUGCAAGCAGAGAUGAGGAAUCACUUUUCUUGGCUCAGCCCACGCAGAGGUGCUGCAGACCCAGGAACAGAGCAGUUCACCCCCAAGCAGAGACAGACCACAUAUAGAGACCCAGCACCACAAGUUAUUAGCUAUUUUUAACAGGUUUUUUGUUUGGUUGGUUGUUUUGGUGGUUGUUGUUGUUGGUUUUAGGUCUUUUUGUUUGGUUGGGUUUUUUUGCUGUGAAACAUUAGAAUACUUUCACUUUAUCUUCUCCCAUAUUAAUUUAGUAAUGAUGCAUUCAAAAAGGAAAGGAAGUAUCAACUGGUGUUCUUUAGCUCAAACAAUAUAUUUCUUGUAAAACUUCACAAGCAAUUCAUAUCUGAUUAAAGUUGAGCAAAACACUUUUCCCCCCUAACUUCAGAUCUGCCUUUCUAUUAUGCUUCUCAUGAAGGAAAAUGUUUGUUGUGAACAAUAAAAGGAAAGUCCCACUUUCCUGUGAGUAUCUGUAACAUCAAACCUCAGGCUUUUAUAUAAUGGGCUCCUAUUCUCUCCCCGACUGAAGGGCAGCCUAAGUGAAACAUUCUCAGAAAGAUAUGUGGAAAAAAAUCCCCUAGAAACAACAAAAAUUUUUUCCACAAACCAAACACUCAGACUUUGUCUUGUGCCAAAUCUCUCUGCUUUGCUAUUUACCUGAUUGUCUGCCAACAAAUACACAGAUUAUCCCAGAGCAAGACACAGGAUCCCUUUUCCCUGUACCACAGCUUUCACAGGGAAAGUAGAGACCAAGGAGAUGGAAAAAAAAUAGAAGUAGAAUUUCUUUGUAAAAGGCAAGAGGACAAAAAUGUGCAAUAUAGAUGUGAACAAGAAUGACUCAUUGGCUAAAAGGGAAGACGCAGCCAUUUGUACCAUCAUUUAAAGAUUACUUAAAUCAUGUUGUGAAUGGGGGCACUGAUGGGAACUCCCUCUGUGCCUCUUCAACUCACUGCACCAUUUUGUCUCUUCCUGCCAGGCAGGAAGAAAGAACUUUACCUGCAUUGCUGAGCUUGAGAGAUCAGUUAAUGAUUGAAGAGGAUUUUAAAGAUGGGAAGUGUGCAGCAAUAAAACUGGUAAAUACCAGGUGGCUCAAGCUUUGCUCUCAGCUCACAAAGGCAAUCAAGCAUCUGGACUUUUACAUUUUCGUUCAUUUUGGAACAGGCUCAGUUUGUGCUUUGAAUCGCGCUUAGAGAAAUGUUGCAAAAAACUACAGUCAAAACUCUCAAUUUCUGUUUAAAUAAAAACAUAUUAAACAGUAGAAAUAAGAAAUAUCAGAGAAAAACAGUAUUAUGGAAGUACUUCAGAACUGUCAAAAUAUUGUUUCCCGGCUAGUGCGGGAAACAUUCAGAAAAUACUCAGAAAAUAUUUGAGUUUGGGUUUAUCCAACCUUUGCUAGAGCAGAUGUUUAAUCAUACAGUUAGCUUUCAGGUGUUCAAACAGAAUAAAAUGUGCUUUCAGUGGUCAAAUUGUUCCUCUCUUGCAUGUCUAUUUAUAAAAAUGAAAACAAUAUCAUUGCAAAAAAAUCUGUGGUAUUUUAGUUAAAAUGCAUUUGCUUACUGUUAUCUGUCAGAGAAAAGCUAAGCAACUGCCCUGUGUGACAGAAGUCCUGAAUCAAACGGGUUUGGGCAUGAUGAAUUCCUAUGACUGCUAUAACCAUAGGGACAAAUAUGAAGAGCAAAAUAAGAUACAGCAAGGAAAUUGAAUUAAAAAUAACAUGAGGACAUUCUCCAAAGAUAUGAAAGAUAAGUUGGUCCAACAUGUGAUGGAAAAGGAGAAAUAGUAAUAGUGACAGGUUUAAGGCCUUUUUUUCUUCAGUAGUCACUUAUAAAAAGGAAGUUUAUAUAAAAUGGUUACAUAGCUGUUGCAAGCAGGAUGAGAUGUUAGUGAUCUUCCUUGAGAACAGUGUGGUGAGGACAGAUGAGGUUCCAGGGCACUGGAAAAGAACAAUCAGGGUGACUGUUUUCAGAAAUGAAGGAAGGGAGCUGUAUCAGAAUUGUCACUAAUCAGUCUGAUUGCAUUUCCUGAAAAAAGAACAGAACAGUGUUUGUAAAAUGCAGGAAACAUCUAAUUAAGAAAAGUCAAAGAAGGAUUAUAGACAAUCAGUAGGUUCUGCCAGUAAGAUGCUGAAAUAUCCUUGCCAGUCUAGAUAGCAUUGACAAGGCUGCAGAUGGAAUACAUGUCCUUGUUUUGGGAAAAACACUUCAGGAAAGAUAUAGCCAACUAAUCAAUUUCUAGAAACUUCUAGACAUUUCUAGAAAAGAGAGCAGCUGGAGAAGAUUUUAACAACCCUUAAACACAAGAAGACUCAUGAAAAAAGGAAAAUAAUUGUUCUUUUUGUACACUGUGAAGGGAGAUAGAAUAAUCAAAUUACAGAAAUUACACUUGCACUGAUGUUUUUAAGUCCCAGGUGACUGAACUGUUCCAGCUUGCAUUUGCUGCAGUAAAUUCUGUCCUCUCUUGCUCUGCAAACCAGUCCUGCUCCAAAGUAAGUGAUUUGUUUACAUUAAAUGCUCUCCUUUGUGGGAAGUUGAUCUGGCAAAAAUCAUUGUUAUACCUCAAACAGUGAGUCACUUAGCUUCCUCUGUAGCAGAACAAAUGAAACACUUUUCAUAAUCAACCAAAUAAUCCCUGUGGAUCAUGAGUUCUGAUUGUUGGAAAUCAUUGUAGACAAUCAUUAUAAAAUUUCCUUCCUGUGUACAAAGGCUCCUUCUGAAUAAUAAAGAGUGCAAGAGAACCAGGAUAACCAUAUGGUGCUGCUCCUGGUCAAAGAGUAUCUUCAUAUGAUCUUUUUUCUUUGAACCUAUGCACAAGAGGGUGGUAGAUGGCAGAAACAGGGGCAGUAGUCUGGAAAUCUGAAGAUCUUUGCUUCCUUUCCACAGCAGGUUCCUAAGACAGACCUGCAAGGCAACAGACAGUUCAGGAGCAGAAUUCACAAAGCCCAAAUUCCAUGUGGGCUGAAUGGGGAAGUUUCCAGACCAAUGUUGGGAUGGUGACCACCAGCAGGAUGUUCUCAAGGGUAGGGGCUUCCUGAAGGUCUGUCUUUGCUUUUUGCCAAAUGUUGGCUUUACAGAUUCAUAUAAAAAUUCCAGCAGGCAAUUCCCUAAGGGGCUCCAGCCCCAAAUAAACACCUUCACCUCCCCAGUCAGAAAAAGGGCUGCAUGCCAUGGAUGUUUAUGGGUCCACAGGGGCCUUCCCUUAACAGAAGUUGAGACAAUCCUGUUAAUUAGAGUACAGUACAGUGGGGAUUCAAAGCAUUUCAGAAAAAACCUGCAGCUGUAAUAUAAUGUCUUUCUCCUGGGGAAGAGAUCUGGGCAGCGGGGUUCCUUCAAAAGGUAGGCAUUGCUCCUGGCUGUGCAUGUUACACAACUGGAGUGAACCAGGCCUGCCAAGAGUUGCCCUAUUUCUAAAUUCUAAGUAGCCCUUGGCUAAAAAUUAAGUCCAGAGAGGUUUAAUCCAGACCCGUGUUUACCGUAAAACAUGUGAAUAAUCCUGGGAUUCACAUGUGCUGUGUUCCCUCUGAAAAUGAUAGAAGCUCCAAAGCAGGCUGUGUGCUUCAAAUGUCCUCAGUGCUGGCGAGGCUCUUCAUUUUUUAAGCAUCAGAAUUUUAACUGAGCUUGCUCUGGUAUGGAGCCCCUGACAAUUAAUUUUAGGUUGUGCUCCUGUGAACAGAAAUCUGCCAUUCUGUUGCAGCAUGUGUGCCGGGUAGAUAUGGGGCAUAUUAUUGCUGUGGCCUGCUGCCAUAUCAUCUUAUUAUUAUCCCUUGAGAAGGAAACAAUGUAGAUUUAUGCUUUGCUUGAGUUUUUUAUUUUGGUUGUUUUUUUUUUCCUGCCUGGUUAUUUUUAGUGCAAAAUUGUUCCAAAUUAUGUCAAGGACAAGAGAGGUUGAACUAAAACCAUGAUCCAAAGUGCUGCUGUCUGUGAGGGAUGUUUCUGUGAACAACAAAAGCCAGAAAUAUGUUCUAUUGCACAACUCUAAAGAAAUCUGUAGAAAGUGAAGUGCUGCCUCUGUUAUCUCCAGACAGUCCCCAUUCCAACCUGUCCUAGUGUGAAGAAGAUAGUUGUCAAUUUUAGCAACUGUAGGAUCACAUUCCCUGACGUGAAACAGCCACUUUCAAGAAAAAACAUGUCUGUGUAAGGACAUGAGCUAGCUGGCACAGUCCCUCCCCUUCCACUGCUUUUGAAGAAUACACAAUAUUCAAACCCUGAAAUCACUUGCAGGUUUACAUCCUCUGCUCAAGACAUUUAACAUCUCCCUGGGCUAUUUGCUUUCAGAGACAGACCCAUGGUGUUUCCCAGAAAUUAAUUAACAAAUUCACAGCCUCUUUUGCUGGCUUGGAAAACAGCAGCAUGGAUGAAUGCUCUACGGAUAAGGUUUUAAUGUUGAGUUGUCAGAGGUACAGGUACCUGACAGCUCUUGAAGAUUAAUUAUGGAGCACAGCUUUCUCUGUUCCUGUCUGCCUGCUCCAAAGAGACAACUGUGUUUCUUCCCUUUAAUGAAUGUGUGCUGUAAUAACAGCUUGCAAAUAUUUUACCUCUGGAAGCAAUUACUGAGUUUGUUUUAAAAGCUGAGCUAACACUGAAGACAUGUUUACUCUCCAAGUAGACACCCUGAAUUGGAGCUAUUACAUUUCUUGUUUCUAUUUUUAAACCAGUGUUGUGAAUUCAAGUUGCUUCACCUGCUACAACAAACACCCUAAUUUGUUAAUAAAUUAGCAAAAGGGGAAUUGAGGGAGAGGUUUCAAGAGCAAAACAACAUGUUGGGAAAUCACCUCAAUUCCAAAUUCAAUUGGAAGUGUGUGGUGCUGCCAGACGUGGAAACCAUAAUGAGCUGUGUAAUGCUCAAAGCCCCUCUGCUCCCCUCCCUCUGAGUGCUUCUCCAUUCCCUGGUGCCUGCAGCUCCUGCUCAAGACCUUUUACACUUCCUGGGCUCUUUGCUUGCAUCCAUCACUUUCUAUCUCCUGUGGGAAAACAGUGGCAGCAGCCAGGGGCAAAGCUGGGACAUGCUGGCCCCCACUGGCACUUUCUAAAUCUUUCUAUAGCACUGUAAACCUUAAUCUCAAACAAUCUGUACAGAUUAGGGCCAAUCUCCGUUAGUCUUCUCUUAGGAGUAGACUCAGACAGGUUUUUUCCUCAAUUAAUAAUUGCCACAGGCUCUUAUGUCAGGGGUUACUGGUUUAGUGGAGACCACCUUUGGAAGUGACCCCUGGCAGGUGUCUGAGUCCCAAACAGAGUCAAAUUCAAGGGAAGUUGUUAUUUUCUGAAUAUGAGGGAGUUUAGGAAGAUGCAAACUGGACAAGCGAAGUUAUUUCCAAUUUUUUUCUCUUAUUUUUCCUUCCUUUCCGGGGGGGAAGCUUGCUGUCAAAAUCCUUCUCUAGCAAUUAGGAUAUGUAGGCAGAGUAUCACACAUCUUGUGUUCAUGGCUCUCUGCAUAAGAACUAAUAACACACCUUUGAGAAGAAAAAGCAGCAUUAUAUCCACAAUGGGUGACAUUGGAUUUUGGGAAGUGGUAUCCCAUUUCCCCUCAAAAAUACUGUGCUACAGCAUCAGCGCAGUGUGGAAGGCAUCAGAGCCACUUCCUGUCUGUCACCCAAGGUCAGGUUGAAUGGGGCUUCCAGCAGCCUGAUGUAGCUCAGGAUGUCCCUGCUCAUUGCAGGGGCCAUGGAUUUCAAAGCUCCCUUACAACCUAAACCCCUCUAAGAUUUUAUGAUGCUGUUUCAACUCAGUACAGCCCUCUACCCCAUCCUUCUUUUGCUCCUUCCUCUUGUACUCCCACUGAUCCCUUUUGCUCCAUUGCUUGUCUCCUUUUGGCAUUUUGCUGAAGAGAGGGAAAAAGGACAAGAGAUGGAAAAUGGGGGUGCAGCUCCUCCUGUUCCUGGGAGCAGAAAGCCAGUGCAACACAGCCCUGGUUCUGUUUCCUUCCUCCACAGAGAAGUUUAGGAUUCCAUCAAAAGUAAAAGUACAAAACUGCCUCAUUGUCCUAAAAAGUCAUGUAAGAAUCUGAAGUAAUUGUUUUGCACAAUCAAAGUUGAUGAGAGGUCUUCCCAUCAAAUUCACAAGCAGCAGGACCAAGUCUGUACAAUUAAAAUGGGAACUCCAACAUCAAAGGCAGGGAAAGAAAGGGCACAGCAUGAGCUCAUGGGAUUGUUUACUAUGUAACUGCGCUCUCCACAUUUUUCAACCUUUUGCUUGGAUCUCAUUUUCCUUUGAACUCCUGGCAACGUGCAUGUUUAGGCCCACUAAAAUACAUGAUGUUUUCUAACAAACUACAAUACAGAUUAGAUCAAUUCUUUAAUAUCAUGUUUUCCUCUUGAACACUGUAAUGAACCACUUUAUGCUUGCUUGGAUAUAAAAUUAAGCCAGGCACUUUACCAUUAUUUCAGAAUGUUCUGUAUUCUAAACUGUCUAAUUUUGCUGGGAAUAUGCCAGGGUUUUCUCAUCCAUAAAGGUGAACAUAGCCCAGAUCUAAACAGGGUGCACAGCUACUUUACUGUGAAAAUACUGGGUGAGGUGGAAGCACACAACAUUUUGAUGGAUAUUAAAGAGAGGCCACAAUCACAGGCACUUUUGCCCAGGGAAAUGAAGAACAUGGAGUAUGCUGUUGAAUCUGAAUAAAUAAUUUCUUAAGGAAAAGCAGCUCAAGAAAAUAUUUUAAAGAUCUGAAAAUCCCAACAACAAGACCGCCACUGACAAUGUGAACCAUUUGCAGUUACUGCUCCAGCUACUCUCUGCCAGUGACUGUCUGCUAUGGGCAAGUGUUUUCCUUGAGCACAGGGAUAGUGUAUGGUAACAGUCAGAGAGCUCUUCUAUUCUGUAAGAAAAGAUCUCUAAAGUAUUGGGAAGUUUGUGAUAUCACAAGGUCUUUGCCAUACUGGGAGACAGACCUUUAUGGAAUUUACAGGAAGUGCUUUUAGCAAUUUUAUGACUACAAUUUCUAUAAAUAUCUGCUGUAGAAAAAACACAAGGACAAAGGAAGCUUUCUCAGAAAAACAAUAAACUGUCAUAGGCUGACUACGCUUUGCAAAAACUAUACUCAAAAGCUUUGGUUUAUAUUUUGAAGAAGUAACCUGCAGCCUUCUCAUCCUCCUGGGCAAACCCCUGUUUUUCUAAAAUCUGCCUAUUGCUGGAAUCCUCUUCUUCCAUUAAGUCCUUUUGAUUCUCUUCCUGGGCUGGACUAGUACUGUUUUCUUGUACUUCUUGGAAUAAUGUUUGAUCCUGGGCAGAACUGUGGCCUGUGUCAUUUCCCAUGUUUGGGACUUUUGGAACAGGUUUUUGGGGACAGGUGUUUCACAAUGCUUAAUGCAGCUACAGCCUUUUUCCAACACCCAAGUAAACCAUAAAAGUGCUGUUAGCUUUUCUAUAAUAUUUCUGGAGGGCCCUGGAUGGCAGCCAUAAGGGCUGGCUUUAUUAUCUGUGAAGGACUGUUGUGAAGAUUGGUUUGAGCCUCAGCCCAGACACCUGAGAAAAUUUCCUUUCCCAUCACACUUAUGAAUCACUGUGUUAAAUAUGACAGCAACUUGUUGGGGUGGAGAAGAUUAAAAAAUAGCAUGUAAUGACCAGGAGCACUUCUCUCAAAGUUAAGCAAUAAACAAAGUAAAACGAUUUGAAGUCUCCUUCUAUAAUUUCAAGGUUUGAGUCUCCAGUACUAACACCCCAUGGGGCAGACCCUGAGCCCUGUCUCUCCUCCCAGGAUAAAAAAAGCUGAUUACUCAAUUCUGAACAACCCUUCAGCCAACCCAAACUCCUUCUCUCUUCUGGCUCCUCUGGUAAGCAGCCCCUUUUUGACUAUUAUUCCUCUUCAAUAAUUUCCACCUCAAGACCCAAUCUCCUCCUAACACCCUCCUUACUGUGAUUCCUUCUCUCUCUUGUUUAAUAUGUACAUUCAUGCCCUAAAGCUAAAAGCUGUGAAAGAUCAGACCAGUCACUCCAGGCCUGUUUUUGGCUAGGUGAAUUGGCUCAGGUUUUUCUUGUGUUAUAGUAAUUGUGUAAUUUCCUCCCCUUUCUCAUGUCUUUUUACUUUAUUUUUUUAACAGAAAUUUUCUAAAUAUGAAGAACUUAAUGAAAAUCCAACAUCUUCCAGAUGGCUUCCUCAAACACAAAAAUUAAUCCAUUUCCCUAGGUGAAAGGCUUUGGUCUCCAAGGCUCAGCUCAGACCUAUCUGAUACAAAGCUCUUGUGUGAGGUAAGCUUCCUCUCCAACACUUGUGCUCAUUUCCUGGAGAAGGCCUUUGUUUCCCUGCUCUGUGUUUGCUGUGUGGGCUACAACUCCUUAUCAGCCUUUUCCUCCCUCUGACCUCCUGUCUUUUCAGCUUCUCUGGUUUGCAUCUGUGCCUGGAGCUCCUUUGCCUUCCCAGAGCACAGACUUUCUAUUCUCCUGCUCUGGGAUUGCCCCACUGCUGCUUGGAUCAAGCUGUGCUCCCACGUGCAGACUGUCCGAAAUUGGGACUAGAGGUUACUUUAUGAAAGCCAGGUGACUUAUAGAAUUAGACAGUCAAAAAUACAGGCAGUUAUGACACAUUUGUGACUGUUACAACCUCACUGGGGGAAUGACUUGAGAAGGUUUUUAAGGCAGCAGGCAAAUAGCUGGUGCUUCAAAGACAAGUAUCAUCCUGAAGCUUAUUACAAAAAUUAUCAGCAUCUCCUACAAAUGGUAAGAUGCACAGAAUAGACCUCUGGAUUAGAUACCAACUCUUUUGUAAAUGUUUUACAGAAAAAAAUAAAAAUGGAUACAUAAUUUAAACAAAAAUUAGUAGUGUAUGUGGAGGUGAGAAGGACAAGGAGAAAAAUGGUAUGGGCAAAGUGAGAUUAGGCUCUUGAAAAAUCCCCAAAUACACGUGAAAGGUGACAGAGCAGAGCAAUGGGAGACUGAGGACUGCACAGGGCAGUGCUGUUGCACUGACAAAAAUAAGUAAGUAGAAGGAAUAAAAAUCUCUUUUUCUAAGAAAAGAAGUCACAAUGUAAAAAUGACAUAAUGGCUCUUGUUUUUUUUCUCCCUCCCUCCCUGCAAAUGCAGUGUAGGAGAAUGUGAUUACAUCACAUGCAUCACAUUUUCUGAUGGAAGUUACAAUGCUGUUACCAGAUACUGCCAUGACACUCAUCCCACUAUAACUUUCUUCAAGUACCUUGUAGAGCAAAACUCCAGAGUGUAGUAAAUUAGGCAUAUUUUGUGUCUCUUUCUUGUCUUUGAUAGGGGUGAAAUUCAACCCUGUGCAUAUUUUAUAUGUCUCGUAAUAACACCCACUCAUUCCUUGCAGAAGAGGCAUUCUAUUGUCCUCCUGUGACACUUCCUUGGGAUUGCAGCUGGAAGAUGUGUCACUGGGACUUCCCUCUGUUCCCUUGCUCUGAACUAGACACUCGUGGCAGGUGUUAUGCCUCACAGAAACAGAUACUCUAGGUCACAGCUUGCACAAGGGGAGACAAUUUAAGUGUCUGGCUUGGUUUGGCACCUAUCACUGCUGCUCGAGCACAGGGGUUAAUCAGCAGCUGUCAAACAGCCCUGUUCCAGCACUCCUUGGCUGGGUGGUAACUCAAAACUGUGGGAUGACAGCCAAAGCUGAGAGAAGAUUUCAGUUCUUGAUUUCAGCCUUUUUUUUCCCUUUUAUUUUUCCUUUUAGAGCAGGAGAGAGUUGUGGUUGUUACUGCAGGCCUGUGCCUCUACCUACCCCUUUAAGGAUGCCCUUCUGGCAAUCUGAAGACUGUCCUUCCUGGGAAAAAGAAACAGAAGGAAAGUGGGACUGUGAUAACCCAUUAAUAAAUCCAGUCUGAUGAGAAGCAGCUGAGGGAGCUUGGGGUGUUGAGCCUGGAAAGAGGGAGGCUCAGGGGGGACCUUCUCACUCUCUACAUCUCCCUGACAGAAGGUUGUAGUCAGGUGGGGAGUACUUUGUCCUCUCAAGUAGAAAGUGACAGGACUAAAGGAAAUAGCCUCAGGUUGCACUGGGGAGGUUUAGACUGGAUAUUAUGAAAAAAAUCUUCCUAGAAAGAUUGUCAAGCAUUGGAACGGGCUGCCCAGGGGAGGGGUUGUGUCACCAUCCCUGGGGAUAUUUAAAAGAUGAGUGAGUGUGGCCCUUGCAGACAUGGCUUAGUGGUUGUGUGAACUUGGCAGUGCUGGGUGAAGCGUUGGACUCGCUGAUCGCAGAGGUCUUUUCCAACCUAAAUAAUUCCAUCCUUCCAUGCUAACUUCAGACUGCAGACUGCCCAGCUCGUUGAGAUCUUUACCAUGACUGCUGUCACCAGGACUCAGAUUUGGCACUGUUAAACUUGCUCUGGCACCUGUGUACUGUGUUGGAGUUACUCCUGCAUGUUUGGACAUCAAAGGCUAAAUGGGAACAGUGAAAGCCAUGCUGUACAUUGUAGCAGCCUAUGAGGGUACACAGAUGCCUGUGCCCUUUGUUUUCCAUGGACUGGUAAGAACUUGACCCGUGUGCCCAGUACUUGUAAAAGAUGAAUAAAGAGCUGUAUACAUACAGCACACACAAACACACACAAACAUACAUUCUAUAUAUGUGUAUGUUAAUACAUGAACUUAAGGAACAAUGUAAACCAAGGCCUUUUUCCUCCUACUAAAGCAAAUCAUUGAAUAAUAAUCCAUUACAUAAAAGGAACAUGCUUCAUCUUGAGAACCAUUAAUGUCACUUUUCUCCAAACUCCUCUAUGAAUGGUGUUCCAGAAUAUCAUGGCAGUGCUCUGCCAUAAUGUCUCUUUCUAAUUUCCAGUUAAAGCACAUCCACCACCAUUUUGUGCCUAUUGAUGCUGAGCAGUGCUGCUUGUAAGCUUUAGUCAUGAGCUAAAUAUAACUGUGGAUUGUCUGUACUGCAUUGCUGAUUUUAUUUGAAAGGAAGACAGAUUUAGCAGAACCUAAAGUCAAAACUAACACAGAGAUGCUGCAAAAGGAAUUUGUAUGAUGGCAUUUGCUUUAUCCAACUUCAGUCAUCAAGUCUAAGGUGGUUGUGUGUUUUCCCUUCACAACUAUCAGAAAGCUGCUGGCACAUCUCCAGGGUUUUUAUCACUCAGGCACUUAUUUGAGGAUCUGAUGAACUGUUUCCCAUCAGUGCCUGCUUCUUCCUUUCCACAGAUUGUCAGGUGAAUCUGCAUCAGCAGGGUAGCUGAAGCAUGCACCUAAAAGCAGAUGAAAUGAGCCUCUCCUCACUGUUUAUGUUAAAAUCCAAAAGAAUAUUCCAGUCAAUGGCACUUAGAUUUUUCGCUCAUUGAGAAGAAAAGGGUUCACAGAGAAGUCACCUGGGAUGUCAGAGAACUGUUUUAAAAGAACGAAACUCCCUAAAUCUGGUCUUUAUCAACAUGUCAUGAGACAAAAAUAAACACUGAAAGAAAAACAUGGAAUGUUUAAACCAUUUUUCUUUCCCCAGAAGCAAGUGGCUUUUAGAAUAUUCAUUGCACAAAUUGCUUUAAUUACAAAUUGGAACAAGAAUAAGUUUUGGAAUUCUGAUUUCACAUGACAAAGCUCUGAUUGCAGAAACAGGAAAUUUCCUUCCUUCAAUAAUGUGUUGCUCUCUGCCCUUAUAUCAGACCAAUUCUAUUUUCUAGGAGCUCACUGAAAAAGUACGAUCCUUCAGCAGACCAGUGUGUUUAAACAAAACUAUUGCUCUCCCUCUUGUUUGUGACAAAAGUUAGUGAGUGGAGACUGGGAGUUCCUGAAUACAGCAGGAGCUCUGGAAUAACUAUUAACAUGAAUUCCUGAAAAAGAAGGAAUUUGAUGUGAAGGGCCAAAGCAUAAGGACAAAUUAGAUAGAAGAUAUCCUGAUUUUCCAGUCUGGGCUGGAAAUAACACAGAUGUAGAAGUGAAAAAGAAUAGGAAACAUUGUGUCUGUGAACUAUUCUCUCAGUGUGUGUUUUUGGGAGAGUGUCAGCUAAAGAAUUCAACUUCUGGUAAGAUAAGUAUGUGUUACCCAUGCCCAAAUUUGUGGGUAAUCAACUCACAAAUCCGCCGAUGAGUUAGUUAAAUGUUGCUUCCUUAGAAAAAACACUCAGGUUUGUGAAUACCUUUGAUGAUACACUUUUGGCAACUCAGGGACUUGCUGGAGCACAUUCCCCUUCUCUGUCACACAUUCCCCUCUGCACCUUCUGAUGAGCAAAUGUAAAUCCAAAAAUGAAACAAACUAUUCUGUAUUAAUUUCUUUGUGGUGUUUCCCUCUGCAAACAAAAAACUUGUAGUUCUUUGCACAUAUAUCAGGAGAAGUAGCAAUAAUGUCAAUUCACCAUCCCACUUAGAAUGGGAAUUCAGAAAUAUUUUACUUGUCAGGUUAAAAAUCCAAUCUUCUGUUUGCGUCUCUAACUUCAUUGGCUCUGAAAGCAGAACAGGAGCUACUUUUCCUCCUUCAGGCUGAGAUUUUGGUAACAAUUAAAGUGGGAACACAAAGUCAAAAUUUACACUUGUAGACAAUGACUGAAACAGAAAACUCAUAUUCUGCUGCUUUUGUGGGAGGGAAUACACUGUGGCAAAUUGAAUAAUCCCCAAUACUUUAACUUCUUAGGAGGGAAAAUGUAAGGCAGUCAGGUGCUUCUGAAGUGCUCACUCUGUUGUUUGGCUCAGUUUGUUGCCUCUCUAGAAAACCUGAAGUGUAUUCUUGGCAGCAGGCAUCAGUGCCCCGAGGGAUAGGAUAUACAAGCCUGCAGGAAUGUAGAUAAACAUCGAAGUUCUUACUCUGCAUAACAACAACAAAAAAUAAUCAGUGAAAGCCUUCAAAGUGCUGCCAAGGGGCCCUUCUUCAUAGUCACAAGUACCUUACUAAGAGGAGAGCUUAUACUUCUAAUUGAAAAUAUUUCAUAUUUAAUAGAUCCAAUCAUAAUUCUGACUUUUUUUCUGACAACAUAAAAAAAGAAAUAAUCAAUAUGGUUUUAUUUUUCUGGGGCCAAGCAGGGAGAAAUGUAUGUUCUUUCUAGUACUGGGCAAUAUUUUCCUUGUAGUAAUGUCUAAUGGUUUUGUCAGUUGUUACUUACAUAAUAAUUACUGUUACUUUUCAGAAAAAAAAUGCAGAAUAUUAUUUUGUAUAAUUUAGUAGCUUGCUGGGAAUAAUUAUACACUUCACAGAAGCAUCUACUGACUAGAAGCACAUAGAGUUCAGUUGGUAUAACUGAAGGUGAUGGUGUGUAAUUGUCAGGGGAAAUAGUUUUAUUAUAGAAUUUUCUAACAGUGGGUAUUUGGUCAACUCUGGCAAUUCCACAGAUGUACAGAAUGACUGCCCUUUGGGAGUGCUAUUUAUAAACUCAAAAGCGUCUGAACAGUACUCACAAAAAGGCUGCCAGUAUCAAGAAAAUUAAUGACAAUCUGACAUUGUUGGAGGAUGAAGAGAGAAGGGGCUUUGUGCUGAGAUUCAGGCAUGAAAUGUUUUUGCACUGCUUUUUCUUGGCCUCUCUGUGGAAGUCUGGAGUAUUGAUGGGAGCACCCUGCUCAUGGCAUUGUCAGCCUCAGCAAAUCAAUACAGGAAAAUGUAAACUUACAGCUGUCGAAACUGAACUUACUGAGCACAACCAUUAGAUGAGCACCAGAACCAGCACAGGAGUGAGAGAGACAGAAAGAGAAGUUCAGUGUCAAAGACUGACACAUUCCAGUUGCUGUGUCAGUGCCUCAGCUGGUGUUGGCAACCACAGCACAGCUUCCAGCACAAAGGGCUGUACAGGUAUCAGUGACUGUCUUUGAAUAAAAAAGCACUUUCAGUUGAUACCAUCAUCCUGCCCGUGGCAUAGAAAUGCAGGUACAUAUAUAACGUGUGCAUUUACUGUGAUACAAGUAAUAUGUAUCAAAUGUUUUAAUAAAACUCACUGACUUUUGAGCAAA